rnacentral:tRNA from 2 species
AACAUUAAGCCGGAUUAACGGAUGACAUUGAUGGUGUUAAAUAUGAAUAAUUUCUAGUGUUU